CUCUACUUUUUUGAAGAGAUCACACUGUACUGAAACCUACAUUAUUUUCCAAAAUCUCUGGAUCUGCUUCUGUCUUGCAGGCAGAGAGCUCAUCCAGUAGCCCUUAGCUCUUCCCAGCCCCCUCCUUUGAUUUGUGGGUGCCACUGCGGCAGCUGCUGAGUCUCAGUGGUUUCUGGUCUUCACCAAGUUCUGCCCACCCAGAUGGUUUUUACCUGUCCUCACCAGAAACCUGCACUGUCUAGAUUGCUGAGGCUGCUUCUCCUUAACCGAUCUGCUAUCUGUAUUCCAGGGGCACCCCAGGGUUAGAGGUAAAUGGCACAGGCCUUGAAAUCUCCAACUGCUCUGACUCCAGGGAGCCUUGGAAGGAGCCCGAAUCACUGAUGGAAUUGGACAGUGCAUGGAGAUGGUUCAGCAGGACAAGGUGCUGAAAACUCAUCCCCGUGUGACCUCAAGUAAGCCAUGUAACUCUGUGAACCUGCAGUUUUAUCAUUUUUAAAAUAAAGAAACAUGACAGAUUUUCAUUAUGACACAGAAUGUCAGGUCUCCCAGAUGCCAGAAAAUACAUUUACUUAAAGCCGUUGAUACGUCUUAAAGCGGUUUCCUUACAGUGUCAUUGGAGGACAGUGUGGAGUGCAGAGAGACAUGCUUUGAAAUGGGAUUGAUCCAGUCCUCCUUCCUUCACUACCACAUGAAUGCUGGGCAGCCCAGGGUCAACCCACCGCACCCUCAACUCAGACGGUUACCUGGCACGCUGGCCACAGUCUACCUCACUCUUAUCAGAGUCUGAGCUACUGGCAGUGCUUUCAGCUCUGAGUUCAGGCACCUCGAACCUUGUUUUUGUGGUGAAGGAUCCUAAAGUGCUGUGGGGAGUGAUCACAUUUUUCACAACAUCCCUGGCUCCACCUCUUCUGCCACAAACGUCAGCAUGGUGGUAUCAGCUGGCCCUUGGUCCAGCGAGAAGGCAGAGACGAACAUUUUAGAAAUCAACGAGAAAUUGCGCCCCCAGCUGGCAGAGAACAAACAGCAGUUCAGAAACCUCAAAGAGAAAUGUUUUGUAACUCAACUGGCCGGCUUCCUGGCCAAC
rnacentral:lncRNA from 1 species